AUUUAUAUAGGCGCGUUCGUCUAGUGGCUUAGGACGCCGCUCCCGAGGGAGGUCGGGACGGAGAACACGGGUUCGAAUCCCGUACGGGUAC
rnacentral:tRNA from 1 species